AUGAAGAGGGAGGGGAAAUGAGACAAACACAAAUUGAUCAUGGCAAGAAUUUUAUCAAAUUAAAAUCAUUCAUUCAUUUUGGGAGAUGAAAUGUAUAUUUCAUCAAUCCCCUAAAUCCAAUGAGUUUAAUCCAACAAAAGUGAAAUCAACCUUGACCAAGGCUCAAAGACUAUAGUCAAACUUCACAAGUCAAUCAAAAUAGCUCAACACAAUUU
rnacentral:lncRNA from 1 species